UACGUAGGGGGCAAGCGUUGUCCGGAUUUAUUGGGCGUAAAGAGCGUGUAGGCGGCUUUACAGGUCCGUUGUGAAAACUCGAGGCUCAACCUCGAGACGCCGGUGGAAACCGUAAAGCUAGAGUCCGGAAGAGGAGAGUGGAAUUCCUGGUGUAGCGGUGAAAUGCGCAGAUAUCAGGAGGAACACCCGUGGCGAAAGCGGCUCUCUGGGACGGUACUGACGCUGAGGAGCGAAAGUGUGGGGAGCGAACAGG
rnacentral:rRNA from 1 species